rnacentral:rRNA from 1 species
AGUGAACGCUGGCGGCAGGCCUAACACAUGCAAGUCGAACGGCAGCACAGCAGUAGCAAUACUGUGGGUGGCGAGUGGCGGACGGGUGAGGAAUACAUCGGGAUCUACCUUUUCGUGGGGGAUAACGUAGGGAAACUUACGCUAAUACCGCAUACGCCCUACGGGGGAAAGCGGCGGACCGCAAGGCGUCGCGCGAUGAGAUGAACCGAUGUCCGAUUAGCUAGUUGGCGGGGUAAAGGCCCACCAAGGCGACGAUCGGUAGCUGAUCUGAGAGGAUGAUCAGCCACACUGGAACUGAGACACGGUCCAGACUCCUACGGGAGGCAGCAGUGGGGAAUAUUGGACAAUGGGCGCAAGCCUGAUCCAGCCAUGCCGCGUGGGUGAAGAAGGCCUUCGGGUUGUAAAGCACUUUAAGCGAGGAGGAAGGUUUACUAGCUAAU